rnacentral:rRNA from 1 species
ACGCCGCGUGCGGGAGGAAGGCCUUAGGGUUGUAAACCGCUUUUAUCAGGGAAGAACACAAUGACGGUACCUGAUGAAUAAGCCUCGGCUAAUUCCGUGCCAGCAGCCGCGGUAAUACGGGAGAGGCGAGCGUUAUCCGGAAUUAUUGGGCGUAAAGCGUCCGCAGGUGGCCAAUUAAGUCUGUCGUUAAAUCGUGGAGCUCAACUCCAUACAAGCGAUGGAAACUGAUUGGCUAGAGUACGGUAGGGGUAGCGGGAAUUCCAGGUGUAGCGGUGAAAUGCGUAGAUAUCUGGAAGAACACCAGCGACGAAAGUGCGCUACUUGGCCUGUACUGACACUCAUGGACGAAAGCCAGGGGAGCGAAAGGGAUUAGAUACCCCUGUAGUCCUGGCCGUAAACGAUGAACACUAGGUGUUGCGCGAAUCGACCCGUGCAGUGCCGUAGCCAACGCGUUAAGUGUUCCGCCUGGGGAGUACGCACGCAAGUGUGAAACUCAAAGGAAUUGACGGGGGCCCGCACAAGCGGUGGAGUAUGUGGUUUAAUUCGAUGCAACGCGAAGAACCUUACCAAGGCUUGACAUCCCCCGAAUCUCUGGGAAACCGGAGAGUGCCUUCGGGAGCGGGGAGACAGGUGGUGCAUGGCUGUC